UACAGAGGUCUCAAGCGUUGUUCGGAUUCAUUGGGCGUAAAGAGUGCGUAGGCGGCGCGGUAAGUCGGGUGUGAAAUUUCGAGGCUUAACUUCGAAACUGCAUUCGAUACUGCCGUGCUAGAGGACUGGAGAGGAGACUGGAAUUUACGGUGUAGCGGUGAAAUGCGUAGAUAUCGUAAGGAAGACCGGUGGCGAAGGCGGCUCUCUGGACCGAGACUGACGCUGAGGCGCGAAAGCGUGGGGAGCAAACAGG
rnacentral:rRNA from 1 species